GGGUUGUGAGGUUAAGCGACUAAGCGUACACGGUGGAUGCCCUGGCAGUCAGAGGCGAUGAAGGACGUGCUAAUCUGCGAUAAGCGUCGGUAAGGUGAUAUGAACCGUUAUAACCGGCGAUUUCCGAAUGGGGAAACCCAGUGUGUUUCGACACACUAUCAUUAACUGAAUCCAUAGGUUAAUGAGGCGAACCGGGGGAACUGAAACAUCUAAGUACCCCGAGGAAAAGAAAUCAACCGAGAUUCCCCCAGUAGCGGCGAGCGAACGGGGAGCAGCCCAGAGCCUGAAUCAGUGUGUGUGUUAGUGGAAGCGUCUGGAAAGGCGUGCGAUACAGGGUGACAGCCCCGUACACAAAAAUGCACAUAUUGUGAGCUCGAUGAGUAGGGCGGGACACGUGGUAUCCUGUCUGAAUAUGGGGGGACCAUCCUCCAAGGCUAAAUACUCCUGACUGACCGAUAGUGAACCAGUACCGUGAGGGAAAGGCGAAAAGAACCCCGGCGAGGGGAGUGAAAAAGAACCUGAAACCGUGUACGUACAAGCAGUGGGAGCACGCUUAGGCGUGUGACUGCGUACCUUUUGUAUAAUGGGUCAGCGACUUAUAUUCUGUAGCAAGGUUAACCGAAUAGGGGAGCCGAAGGGAAACCGAGUCUUAACUGGGCGUUAAGUUGCAGGGUAUAGACCCGAAACCCGGUGAUCUAGCCAUGGGCAGGUUGAAGGUUGGGUAACACUAACUGGAGGACCGAACCGACUAAUGUUGAAAAAUUAGCGGAUGACUUGUGGCUGGGGGUGAAAGGCCAAUCAAACCGGGAGAUAGCUGGUUCUCCCCGAAAGCUAUUUAGGUAGCGCCUCGUGAAUUCAUCUCCGGGGGUAGAGCACUGUUUCGGCAAGGGGGUCAUCCCGACUUACCAACCCGAUGCAAACUGCGAAUACCGGAGAAUGUUAUCACGGGAGACACACGGCGGGUGCUAACGUCCGUCGUGAAGAGGGAAACAACCCAGACCGCCAGCUAAGGUCCCAAAGUCAUGGUUAAGUGGGAAACGAUGUGGGAAGGCCCAGACAGCCAGGAUGUUGGCUUAGAAGCAGCCAUCAUUUAAAGAAAGCGUAAUAGCUCACUGGUCGAGUCGGCCUGCGCGGAAGAUGUAACGGGGCUAAACCAUGCACCGAAGCUGCGGCAGCGACGCUUAUGCGUUGUUGGGUAGGGGAGCGUUCUGUAAGCCUGCGAAGGUGUGCUGUGAGGCAUGCUGGAGGUAUCAGAAGUGCGAAUGCUGACAUAAGUAACGAUAAAGCGGGUGAAAAGCCCGCUCGCCGGAAGACCAAGGGUUCCUGUCCAACGUUAAUCGGGGCAGGGUGAGUCGACCCCUAAGGCGAGGCCGAAAGGCGUAGUCGAUGGGAAACAGGUUAAUAUUCCUGUACUUGGUGUUACUGCGAAGGGGGGACGGAGAAGGCUAUGUUGGCCGGGCGACGGUUGUCCCGGUUUAAGCGUGUAGGCUGGUUUUCCAGGCAAAUCCGGAAAAUCAAGGCUGAGGCGUGAUGACGAGGCACUACGGUGCUGAAGCAACAAAUGCCCUGCUUCCAGGAAAAGCCUCUAAGCAUCAGGUAACAUCAAAUCGUACCCCAAACCGACACAGGUGGUCAGGUAGAGAAUACCAAGGCGCUUGAGAGAACUCGGGUGAAGGAACUAGGCAAAAUGGUGCCGUAACUUCGGGAGAAGGCACGCUGAUAUGUAGGUGAAGUCCCUCGCGGAUGGAGCUGAAAUCAGUCGAAGAUACCAGCUGGCUGCAACUGUUUAUUAAAAACACAGCACUGUGCAAACACGAAAGUGGACGUAUACGGUGUGACGCCUGCCCGGUGCCGGAAGGUUAAUUGAUGGGGUCAGCGCAAGCGAAGCUCUUGAUCGAAGCCCCGGUAAACGGCGGCCGUAACUAUAACGGUCCUAAGGUAGCGAAAUUCCUUGUCGGGUAAGUUCCGACCUGCACGAAUGGCGUAAUGAUGGCCAGGCUGUCUCCACCCGAGACUCAGUGAAAUUGAACUCGCUGUGAAGAUGCAGUGUACCCGCGGCAAGACGGAAAGACCCCGUGAACCUUUACUAUAGCUUGACACUGAACAUUGAGCCUUGAUGUGUAGGAUAGGUGGGAGGCUUUGAAGUGUGGACGCCAGUCUGCAUGGAGCCGACCUUGAAAUACCACCCUUUAAUGUUUGAUGUUCUAACGUUGACCCGUAAUCCGGGUUGCGGACAGUGUCUGGUGGGUAGUUUGACUGGGGCGGUCUCCUCCUAAAGAGUAACGGAGGAGCACGAAGGUUGGCUAAUCCUGGUCGGACAUCAGGAGGUUAGUGCAAUGGCAUAAGCCAGCUUGACUGCGAGCGUGACGGCGCGAGCAGGUGCGAAAGCAGGUCAUAGUGAUCCGGUGGUUCUGAAUGGAAGGGCCAUCGCUCAACGGAUAAAAGGUACUCCGGGGAUAACAGGCUGAUACCGCCCAAGAGUUCAUAUCGACGGCGGUGUUUGGCACCUCGAUGUCGGCUCAUCACAUCCUGGGGCUGAAGUAGGUCCCAAGGGUAUGGCUGUUCGCCAUUUAAAGUGGUACGCGAGCUGGGUUUAGAACGUCGUGAGACAGUUCGGUCCCUAUCUGCCGUGGGCGCUGGAGAACUGAGGGGGGCUGCUCCUAGUACGAGAGGACCGGAGUGGACGCAUCACUGGUGUUCGGGUUGUCAUGCCAAUGGCACUGCCCGGUAGCUAAAUGCGGAAGAGAUAAGUGCUGAAAGCAUCUAAGCACGAAACUUGCCCCGAGAUGAGUUCUCCCUGACUCCUUGAGAGUCCUGAAGGAACGUUGAAGACGACGACGUUGAUAGGCCGGGUGUGUAAGCGCAGCGAUGCGUUGAGCUAACCGGUACUAAUGAACCGUGAGGCUUAACCUUACAACGCCGAAGGUGUUU
rnacentral:rRNA from 1 species